UUUUUUUUUGUUUUGAGAUCGUGGCUUUCCCUAAUAUAUCAACGAAGUCUUGAGUCUCCUGCCACACCCAAUGUCCCGCGCUGCCACUAUCACGCUUCGCUUGUUGCUUGUCACCACAAGUGGGCAAACCGACGUAUAAUCGUCCCGGUAUUUCCUACAGCACUAAAGAUAUCUCAAAUCCUAAUACUACCGGUACCGGAACCGGAGAUCAUGAUGGAUCAAAUUGCAUUUGACUAUUUUCAUCGUCUUGACAAAAUUGGUCCUCGUGUGUUCUCGAUAGCGGAGCUAGGGGGCCAUGUCCCCCCCUCCCUCACCACGCAACGUAAACACCCAGCAUGACCUGUAUAUUCUGGCGUUGCUAAUUAUAGAUAGUACCUCCAACACUGUUCAAAAAACUACCGAUUAUUUUAUGAAGACCACAGUUUUAAAUACUCAGCGUCCAUAUAUAUCACGUAGGAUUUGUGAGCUGUGCAAUACGUGACCAUUUCGCACGAUUCAAGGAGCACUUGAAUAAACCACCGGCAUCCCGGCUGCGUUUUAGCCCUAUCCAAUAAAAUGAGAUUCUUGCCAGAGUUUGCUGCUCAUCCUAUGAUAAGUUUUGUAAUACAUGUACGGUUGGCCUCAACUCUCGUUAGUAAUCUCAGCAAUAUCGACCGUCUUUUGCCGCCCCUCCCCUUAGCUCUGCGCCGUGUGCUUUUGGCCGAAGCCCUAGCCAUCAUACGUCAAGAGAACAAGAAAGGAAUGUGGAAGCAACACAUACUAAUCAAAGAUUCUUGUGUUUGUGAGUGAUUGGUUAAACAGGCUAUCGUGGGCGACAAAACGUCUCGUUAGUCGUUAUAACAGGCUCCGGAUUUCUGACCGAUUAAUUGGGCCCAUCCAGGUGAACCCAUUAGUUGGGCCUUUGAUUCCGAGGAAUCUUAGUUGGAGUAAAGUUGCGGCGGGUCACAGUGGGCUCAAAGGCCGCCUCCACUUUCCUCUCAGCCCAAUAGUUAAGGAACAAAGCAUUCUCCACAAGAACGUAUCAACCACAGUUAUCUACUGCCCUCUUCUCUCCAAAAAAGCAAGUCGAUAUACCGUUUGUAGUACCAAGAUGUUCAACUUUUAGACUACUCUUAGUUCCUUAUGCAGGUUUUCAGAUGUUAGAACCUUAUUCUUUUAAAAACCAAAAAAAUACAGAAAUAGAAUCAACUGGAACGGCCAAAUUCAGAAACAGGCUCCUGACCUGCUAUAUACUGCACGCAUUCUGCCACCAGUGCAUCAAAAACCAAGCUGGCUAAUUGGUCAAACGUUAAAGGUACCUGAAGUAGCAUACGCUCUCCAAAUUACGUGUACCGUACCAGAAGAAAAGCGAUGAGUGGUUGCAACGUUUUUAUCAGCAGUUUUCACAGGGAGGCGACGAACCAGAAGUUGAAGAUCGCCGAAGCGGCCGUCAGGAACCAGGACAAGAACGCCAUCAUGACGGACAACUGGUACCUCCCGCAGAACCUCGGCGAGCACUGGGACCCGUGGAACUGGAGGAGGAGGUCGAUCACCGCGGCGCUCGAGCAGGCGGCCGCGAACGAGAGUACCGACAGCACCUGCAAGAUUUCCAGCCAAGAAAUGCCUCUUCACUGUCACAGGGUGUCUUGCGAGGAGAAGGAAGUAUACGAGAUGUGCGUACGUACCCAAUCUCCCACGACAACGAUGACCAUGACGCCGGGCACGCGGAGAGGGCACCCCACGAAGACGGAGUACACGUCGAUCAUGGCCAGCGUGCAGCUCCAGGGGAUGACCAGGCCCAUGAUCGUGACCAGGAAGCUGUCAGUUGUUUCAGAGAAUUUAGCAUAAACCACGAGAACGCUGUAUCUGAAACGGAAGUAGCAGAGAAACCAAGCAGAAAGGAGGAGGGCGGCAACACGCACCAGAAGGCGGUGUAACUGAAGAACUCGACGCCGACGGACAUGAACAGGAGGGACGCCGACGAGAAGACGGCCUGCCCGACGCGGAGGCCGAGGCUUCCAGCGCUGCCGACGGCGCCCGCGCCGGCCCCAGCCCUAUCUCCGUUCUCCAUCCCCGGACGCCGCCCUCACGCCGCCGGCUCAUCCCAUACCAUACGCGCUCGCGUUGCCAUCGGUUGUUGCUCCCUUGGGGCCGCCUCGGCUGCGCGCUCUCCUCACGCGAACGGGGAAAUGGGACGGAAUCCGGGGGGCAAAAAAAGCAGGGGACACGAUGAAAAGGCCGGGGCUUUGCGAUGGAUGGAUACGGGGAGAGAUACCGCGGCACCGCACCUGCAGCGGGAGCUGAUUCCCUUCCUUCCCCGCGGCGUCCUCUUCUUUUCUUUCUCCACCCUUUUCCUGAUCGUCAUGGUUACUGCUUUGACCUCUCUCGUCCCUUGACUCAUCAGCCAUCGCUUUCUCAGCUGACAAGUUAAACUGGCGCAAGGAAAUCCCGUUGCAACACGCUGAUCGCGACGGGGUUGUGAAGACGUGGCAGGUCCAGGUAGACACGUAACGAAGAAGCAUGGCGUCAGCCGUCAGACCAUGUCCAGCGAUUGCCACGGGUGGACGCCGGAUCGUCCUACCAGGCACCGAAGCUGCUGGAGAAACCGGCGAGUUGAUGAAGUCCAUGUACAAUUGCACUUGCACGCAUCUCGCGGCUGGUGACGAAUCGAACCUUGCAUCUCGUCCUCUGUUGCAAUUGGACUGGAAAGCAAGGGGAUAGCAGCCGGGCGAGGAGGAGGAAUGUGCCGGCCACCUUGUGUGGUCCGACGGCGACCAGCCAAGGGCAGGUAAAGGUUGAAGCAACGGACGCAGGGAAGCCAGGUGUAGACGACUAGCAACGUGGAUGCCGGAACCCUAUCGGUCCAAGAAAGUUCGCAGUAUUUGUCACUUGAAGAAGUUGAAGUACCCAGCUGCUGCCAAAGGCUAACGGGCCAACUUUAUGCAAGAUCUCACAUGCAUAUGAUGUUGAGAAACAACAUAGGAUGAUAAGGUUGAGAAGCAUCCUUUCAAUACUUGUACCAGAAGCGGAUAUUCACCACAUACUAACAAUAGGCCAACAUCUCGAUUUACAUCAAGCCACAGCCCACAGCUAAUGAUUUUAUUGGCGUUUAUGUACUCCAAAGAACCAAAUGCUGACAUCAAGCUACAACAAACAAGAUAGCGAAACUGUCCACCAACAGCGCAACUCAAACAUACAUAACGUAUCCCCUUCAGAUGAUACAAGAUCACCAGAGAGGAAACAUCUGCACAAGGAAUAAGCAGGGAAUGGAAUUGCGUGGCACGGGUACAGCAACCAGCAGUAGUGCCUACAGGAAGUUCAGCACCAGCGCCCAAACAGGGUAGAUGAAGAGCAGGAGGAUGCCGAUGCUGUUCAACACGCCAUUGCCCUUCCUGAAGGCGUUCCUGAAUCCUCCUGACGCCUUGAUGUGCUCUGAAAGAAGGUAGCAUCCAAUCACGAGGCAUAUGAAGAUGCCGAUCAAGUCGUUCCUGAAGGUGUCCGCGAAGAGGUUGGGGGCGACAACUGUGAGCAGGAUGAUUGCACCGGGCAGCUCCAACCAAUCUGGUGCACAGGAUGAAACAUUGUUGUGACAUCCAUGUAAAAAUUUAAUCACCUUCACAAAAGGGACACUAAAAGAGAAGGGAAGUAUCCAGGAAUUCUGAUAGGGUGCAAUACAUCAUAAUAAGAAAAACAAUAAAUUUUUAGCAAAAUGGUACCUGGGAAGUGGCGUGGGAAAAAGAGACGCAGAAUAACCGCAAUAAUUGCAAUCCAUUUUCCGAUCUCACCUCUGAAAAUUCAAAUGUUUAAAGAUAAGUAUUCACUUUCGUACAUCCACACAUAAUAUAAUCAUAGAUUAAUGGAGAACAUUAUCUCCUGCUUAGGGCUGUCACUGUCAGCAAACUUCCAAUCAACAAAUAACCAAUAUGAAAAGGCUCUCUACAUGCAGAACUUUUCAGUUUAUAGUCAUUCAGACUGUUAUCCUAAGAAAUCUAAAACAUUACACCAUGAAAUUGGAAGUGAUUUGAUCCUAAAAGUUCCCUACAUCUCUCAAAUUACUGAAGCAGUCUCAUUGCAGAUGGCGAUAGCAUUUAGAAUCUAGAGGAUAGGCAAUGUCACAGGGUGUAUGAGCCUAUUCACCUUAUCAGAGAAAACAGCACAUGAGGCAGGGUGAAGAAAACAUAAGGAACCAAGAGUGCUGUCAUCAUGUUGGUCUUCCAGUUUGUGCGGUCCAAUAUCAAGAGGUACCUGCAGUGGAAGAGAAAUACCUUAAUUACUAUCAGUCUCAUGUGAAACUAGCAUAUAAAAUCCUCCACUCUUGGUAUUCUACAAAGCUGUUUUUUUAAAAAAAAAGAGUAAUCAGAUGGCUCAUUAAGAGCACCGGUAAUGCUGAUCAGAAGGAAUCCAAUUCUGUUUGUUUGCAUUCAGUGAUAAACCAUAGAAAAGAGUGCAGAAAAUUGCUGGCAAAGUUGUUUUUCUAUGGUUUCUCACUCUGUCAAUUAGGCUAACAAUUGCUACACGCAGUUCCAGGAUUCAGUACAGUCUACAUACAAACAGUGACAGCAGAUAGAUAAUCAGGCUUUACGUUAUAGAACCAACUUAACACCUUAUAGGAAUUUAUAGGAUCAUAACUGGGGCGUUCAAACCAGUUUGCGUGAAACUGAAAUAAUUCAUCUUGCCCUAGCCGAUUUGGGUCGUUCUGGCACAAAGCGGUUUGAACACCCCUCAUUCAUAACUUUCUGCUUACUUUCAGACUUCAGAAGGACGUUGACCAGUGAAGAGUCAUGAUACAGCUCGCGAAAUUAAGUACAGUAACACACAAUCGCCUAACAGCUUUACUUCAAAUUAAGGUAAUUCACAAGCCAGGUCCAUCUGCAUAUAUUCAGAGGGUGGGUACCUGACAGCACAGUACUGCCAUCCCCAAGUACGAUUACACAGUAUUGCCAUCCCAAGUGGCAGUGUGGCACCAAUUUGCUCUCGAUCCUCCACAAAAGGAGAAGGAGCGAUGCUUUAUGAAACGAACCAA
rnacentral:lncRNA from 1 species